GUUGGACCCGCCCGGAUCCAGCCAAAAAGCUCGUGGACUCUGCCGAUGGCACAAAUUAGUAAUUACCAACUUUAGGACAAGUUCAGGUCCCAUGGUCGAAGAGAGUCUGUCUCUGUCUUCCUCAAAAUAUCUUUUUUUCCAAAUUCAUCAUUGAUCAGUGAUUCCAGUAUUAGCUCAGUUACGAACAAAAGGCUUAAACAUAAAAACAAAUGUUGUAAUUAACCAAAUUUCUUAAUUCUUAAUGGACGGGGGGAGCUCAUAGUCAUAGUAUCUUGUUACAGCAACAAAAUUCGAACUUCUACCGUUAUCUCUUGUCA